rnacentral:tRNA from 2 species
GCCACUUUAGCUCAGUUGGGUAGAGCGCAUCAUUCGUAAUGAUGAGGUCACGUGUUCGAUUCGCGUAAGUGGCA